AUGAAAAUUUCUUUUUUUCCCUUUUCUUCUUCCUCCCGUGCGCGGCGACCCUCCUUCCCCUUCUCUCCGUUCGUGCAGCAACCGCCCCAACCGUCCUCUUCUCCUUCUGUUCGUGGCCAGCCGCAGCCCAGCCACAACCACCACCUCUAUCUUCUUCUUCCCGUCCCGCCGCAGCCAACCGCAGCCAGCCGCCGAUCCUUUCCUUCCAUUUUCUUCUUCCGUCCGCAGCCCCGCCGCGAAGCAAGACCGCGCCGCUGCCAGUCCAGAUCUGCAGCGCCGUUGCUCUUCUGCCGCUGCCCAACCGUCUCAGCCGGUUCUGUCUCUGUCGAAGCCACGGUUCUGGAACCGUCUCCGCCGUCUCUAUCUCCGUCCGCGAGGCAAGUCGCACGCCUCAGUCACGAACAGCCUCGCCGAUGCAGGUCACGCCGCAUCGCACGAGUUCGGCUACGUUGCCGGGCUACUCCCGUCCGCGCGUAACUGCUGUUGAACGUCCAAAACCCUUCUGCCUUCGUUUGCAAAACGUCGCGACGUGAAUUCUGCCUUCUAAUCGUGGAUUUGACCUCCAAGUUGUGAUACUGAAGAGGUCGUGCUUAGAUAUCUAAGUUCCAACGUGAGCUUCAUUGGAAUUGUUGCUUCAUUCUACUUGGAAUUUGACUUAUUGAAUUUAGCCCGAUUGAAAAACUUACAUAACCUUGAGGCAAAGGAAAUAAAGGUGGCAAACCGGCGAGGGGCAGGAAGGAAGCGUGAUUGCCAUAGGGAAU